GAUUGUAUGAGGUAUGCAAUUGUGGCUAAAUCUGCAGAAAAAAGGUUAUUAAAAUUAAAUUUGUUGAAGCCCUACUCACAUUUAGGGAUGACAAUGGCUAUCAGGACUUGCAGGUAAACAGGAUAGUUGAUGAUGCUUGGUUUGAUGCUUUAGGAGCUUAAAACCUGGAUUUCCUUAUGUUGCCAUUUUGUAUUAUGACUAAUUAAAUGCUAUUUGGAUAAUUGUAAUUCUGGAUGUUUGUAACUUCGGAUAUUUGUAGCUAUAGGUAUUUUGGAAACCCAUAGCUAGUUGUAUGCGGUAGUUAUCGGGUGAUAGUAAUAUGAAUUAUGCUUUUCUGCAAUUAAAGGUAGCAUGGUAUGAAACCGAAAUUGUAUGGUUAGAGUUAUUAGAUAAUUAAUGAAAUGGGUGACUUAAAAGGUUGAAGGAAAUGUAUGUAUGAUGUAAC